rnacentral:rRNA from 1 species
CCUACGGGUGGCUGCAGUGGGGAAUAUUGGACAAUGGGCGAAAGCCUGAUCCAGCAAUGCCGCGUGAGUGAUGAAGGCCUUAGGGUUGUAAAGCUCUUUUACCCGGGAUGAUAAUGACAGUACCGGGAGAAUAAGCUCCGGCUAACUCCGUGCCAGCAGCCGCGGUAAUACGGAGGGAGCUAGCGUUGUUCGGAAUUACUGGGCGUAAAGCGCACGUAGGCGGCUUUGUAAGUCAGGGGUGAAAGCCUGGAGCUCAACUCCAGAACUGCCUUUGAGACUGCAUCGCUUGAAUCCGGGAGAGGUGAGUGGAAUUCCGAGUGUAGAGGUGAAAUUCGUAGAUAUUCGGAAGAACACCAGUGGCGAAGGCGGCUCACUGGACCGGUAUUGACGCUGAGGUGCGAAAGCGUGGGGAGCAAACAGGAUUAGAUACCCCAGUAGUC